rfam:Ictidomys tridecemlineatus contig007468, whole genome shotgun sequence.
GGGGUUAUGGCUCAGUGGUAGAGCACUUGCCUGGCAUGCAUGAGGCACUGGGUUCGAGUCUCGGCACCA